AUUGGAAUUUUUUGUAUUAUUAACUUUUUGAUAUCUUUGUAUACAUGUUACUUCUGAUUUAUUUUUGGUCUUUUUAUUUUUAUUAAUACUAAACAGGUAGACUUAUACUGCUUCUUUUGGUUUUGGUUAGUUUAUUUUUGAUACCUCAUUUUCAGUUUAGUGGUACAGCUCAUAUUUUAGUUUGAAUUUUGUAUUUUUAUUGGAAACUUAUUUAUGUAUUUAGAUUGAGUAUACAUAACUGACAUUAUGUUCUAUUAGUUAAAUUUUUAUUCCUUCUACCAAUGGUAGUACGUUUGCACGUACAAUUAAUCGUUGAAUAUAUGCAUACAUUUUUUUCUAGUAUGGUUAUAUUUUAUACAUAACUAGAAAUCAUUUUCAGUAUUUAGGUAUUUUAUUUACGCUAUUGAUUUGAUUAUUUUUAUAUAUUUGCUGGCAUUUUGAUUUGUUGGUGUGUCGCUAAUAUUUUCUCCAUAUGUAUAUUUGUCUUACAAACUUUAGAUUAUAUUUUAUAUUUGUUAUUUUUGAUAUUUGGGUUGUUUGGUAAGACAGGCACACACCACAAAGCACAAUCAGUCCACAACAUUAGCUUCUACACAUGAUACGUUGAAUUCGCAUGGUUCGGAUGAUUACAGAUGUUCAUCCAUAAUUUAUUUUCUUUAAUUGGUAGUGUUAAACAUUACAAUGAUAAAUUGUAUAGUUAAGUAGUUCCAUUAUCCACCUCAGUUUCUAGUUUUAUUAUUGUUGAUAAUAAUAUUAUAUCAAUGUGGGUACCAUAAUAUAAUGCUCAUAGAAAUCAGAUACUUUAGGUUGAGAUUUAAAUAUAAAUUCUUUAUUAGUUAGGAAACAUUGAUACUAUUUUCCUACUAAGUUAUAGAACAGUCUUCAGAAGAAGAUUACCUUAACAGUGUUGUUCAAGCUAAUCUCUUCUUCUGUUUGUCUUUAGCUUAGCUCAAUCUUUAGUAUGGUUAGAAAUUUUAGUCUGAUAUUUUUUUUGUCAUCUGAUAAUGCAGGUACCUACAUACAUUGCUUGAUUUCAUCUUUGGCUUUGUUGUUGAUGACUUUUAAUUUAUUACUUAUUAAUUUAAUUAUUAUGUAGUACUUUAUGUAUGAGUUUAACUUUUUUUGGUAUUAGGCAUGGUGCAUUGUAAUUAUUAUUAUGAGUCAAUGUUAUUAAUUGCUAAUCCUGUCAGUAGGAUUAUACAAUUAAUCAGAACUUCACUUGUAUUUUUGUUUAGUUUUUGCACACCUAACCCCUUAAGUUAGAAGGGUUGUUGAAUUAUUAUAUAUUUAUAUACUUAUUUGGACAGGUAAGCUCAUACAAGUACUCUUGUUUAAUAUGGAUAUUAUUAUGGAACUGUAUGUUAUGCACUACUUAUCUCAGGUUAUGUGUUAUAUUAUUUGGAAUAUUUGAUUACUUACUAAUUUUUUUUUUAUCAUAUUUAUAUCUUAUUAUUGAAUUUGCCAUAUUGGAAAGAUGUGGUUUUUAAUUUGUUAUUGGGUUACUCUAUUAAUAUUAUUUGUCUCCAAUAUCUUAAACACUUUAUAAUAAUUUAUAUCCUUCUAUCCUACACAGUAUGAUUCUGGAAUUAGUUUGGAAUUUUGAUGUAAGUAUGUAUGAAUUCUUGAGUCUUUCAUAUUUCUUCUUAGAAACUACUCAGUCUGUUGAUGCUCAAAGUUGGUGAAUACGUGGGUUCGAAAUUCAGCAACUGAUCACUGCUGUCCGGUUUCGUAAUCUAUGUCCUCAUGGCAGAGUAGGCAGAUGUCUUUUCAUCAUUACAUUUCCUAAACAUUUUUCUGUAAUCAGUUUACUUAUUUCAGUUUUUUUUACAAUUUAAUAGGGAAGUAUUUAGUUCAUAUUAGGCCUUUUACUUCAUAGUAUGUUUGUACUUUGAGUUGAUGAGUAAACAUGGAUAAAUAUCUUGCGCACUUGUUUAUAAAUCAAUGCUUAGGCCAUCCCUAUACAUAGUAGGUUCGUUAAGUCAGUAUUUGGAGUGUUUAGACAGAUGAGUUGUUCAUUUGAGUAUAUUCCCACUUCUUUCCUUAGGCAUUAGUCUUGCUAUUCAGAUUCUGGAAUAUUUCCUGAAUAAUUCCAUGUAUGUGAGAACGCAUGAAUCUGCAGUUUUAUUUAAAACUUGUUGCUCGUUCUCGUCAAUUUUUUUUCUUAUCACUUAUCCUAUUUUUUUUCCUAUCACCUAUCAUAGUGUCAUAGAACUUAUGAGUUCAUCAUGUAUUCUUUUUCUUUCUUACUUAUUCUUACGUUCUUAGUACUUUAUCUGUGUCUGGUUAUUCUCAUACAUCUGUUGUAGCAACAUGCUAUAGUUCGCGAAUACCAGCAUGAAUUAGUUUAUGUAUUUUCUAGAAUACUUUAGUCAAUACACUUUAAGUAUUUACCUUACCUUUGAUUUAGUUUGGUUACCUCUCUGUUACUUAGUCUGUUAGCAAUAUUUAUUCUGACUUAUUUUGAUUACUUAGUUUGGAUAGGUUCAUAUUACCGGAUGAGGGUGUAUGUAGACCUAAUUUAUUUAUUUUGUGCAGUAUUAGUUACCAUUGGAUCCAAUAAUUUAGUUUAUUUAGUAUUAGUAAGAAUUGGUCCAUAAAUUUGCCUGAUCGUUCUUCUUUGGAUAUACUCUUAUAUAAAUCUGGUGUCCAUUGAUAGUCCGAUUCUGGAUAAGUGUCCGAUUCUUCAUUUAUUUUGUGUAUUUGGUUGGAUAGGUUCGUAUCACCGGAUGUGGGUGUACGUAGACCUGAUCUGUUUAUGUGGUUUAGUAUUGGUGUGAAUUGGUCCAUAAAUUUGCCUGGUCGUUCUUCUUUGGAUAUGCCUUUUAUGAAUCUGGUGUCCACUGAUAGUCCGACUUUGGAUUAAGUGUCCGAUUCCACAUUUAUUUUGGUUAUUGAGUUUUGGAUUCCUUUGGUAUGUUUAUUAUUGGUAUUAUUUGACAUUAGUGAGAAUUGUUCCAUAAAUCUUCCUGAUUGUUCUUCUCUGGAUAUACUAUUAUGAAUCUGGUGUCCAUUGUUAGUUCAGUUUUGGAUAAAGUGUUCAAUUCUUUACCUAUUUUAGUUACUGAUUUUUUUUAUUCACUUUGGUACAUUUACUUUUGAUAUGGUUCGAAUUGGCUCACACCUUUUCCUGGUUGUUCCGUUCUUGGAUAUACCCUUUAUAAAUCUGAUGUCCAUGGAUAGUUCAAUUUUGGUUUUAGUGCCCAAUUCGACACUCAGUUAUUAUUAUGAACUUAAGUACAAUAUUUAGUUUUGUUUUGACUUUUGAGCAAUAUAUGUUAAUAUUUGGUAGCAGAGAGUAACAUAGUAACAUUUUAGUAUGAGUUUGAGUCAUGUAUUGAUUUAUUUUUCCUUGACCAUUAGUUUAUAUUUAGAAGUAAUCUUGCGAAUCAACGUGGAUUGUUAGACUAUUGUAAAUUUAGUUGUUAAUAUUUUGAAGUUUAAAAAAAAAAUUUUUUUUGGUUAAAAAAAAAUUUUUUUCCCGAGUAGGAGGGGAUUGUAACGGUCCACCCGUUAUAUUAUCAUUUUUAGCGCUGUAAUUAUUUUUAAAAAAAUAAUUAUUUUCUCUUGACCUCCCAUUUAAAUUCUUUAAUUUAUCGUAAAGGACUUCUCAUGUGACGUCACACUGUACGGAACAUAGUUGUUGAACCGUUCCUUGUCGUUUAGUUCGUGUUCCGUGAGAGUUUGACGUUUUCCUCGCUGACUGUGGGAGGAAUGAGAGGCACUUGGCCGGUGGCUGCGAGGUUGACAGGUUGGUGUUGGUGGUUAGUACCGUAAAUGGCGGUUAAUUUCUUCGAAAUUAAUUUUUAUUUCAACUAAGUUUGGAAGUAUAGUAAAAAGUUACCACCACUUGUUUCCUGGAGUACGGGUUUCCUGGAGUAAGGAUGGGAGUACCAUCAGUGGAAGAGGAAUAAAAAAUUAACCGCCGUUUGGAAGAAAACUAACCCUCAUGUGAUGUCGUACCCACCUUGACUACCUAGGGAAGCCACCUUGACCUUAUUGCAGCUACCGCCAAGUCACCUUGGGAAUAUGUCGAUUUGGGAGCAAGCUAUGGGAGCGUUCCAGCUCAAUUUUCGUCUUGGCACCUGGGCCUACAGGAGCCAUGGGGUCGCACCAUCCUGGUGCAUCAUUUUCUAGGAUGCAACCGCAACCUCGUUUGGGAACAUUUAGUAAGGAGUUUUAGUAACUAUUGGUUUUUUUAUAUUUCAGACUAUCUGUUAAAUACACUAUGUUUUUUUUCCAGAUUUAGGUUACCUCUGUUUUUUUGACAUAUGUAUUUGUAUAUUAGAUUAUUUGGUUCCCAAACUUUGUAUCUACGGUAACUUCUUGUGCACAGGAAUAAGCCUAGAGAAAAUUAGGUUUUUAAUACUUUAUUAUUGCUUUGAUAUUGGUUUAUGUAAUUCGGGUAAAUUUAUUUUGUAACAUUACUUGCUUGUUUCCCAAAUAUUGUAUUUAUUCGCUUUAUUUCGUUUGUUCGGUUACUUCGUCGUUACUUUAUUUCAUUGCAUUUGCUCGGUUAAUUUAGGUCAUUUUGUCGGUAUUUUUCUUAACUUCACUUCUAUAACGUUUAUUCAUUUGUAUAUUUAAUUUUGCUUUAUUCAGUAUUGUAUUUUCUCUUAGUGAGGCUUGGGCCUAUUUAUUUGUAUUAUUUUCAUCUUCGUCGGUUUCCUUUAGUUGUACGUAGCAGGCGUACUAUAACCAUUUGGUAGAAGACUUAUGUAAUUUUGUACCCUAUAUGUUAGUAAGAGGUACUUAUAUUUAAGUUUGUAACAGAUAACAUUAUUGUUGUUAUCUUUAAAAUAUAUAUAUCUUCUUGUAUAACUUAUGUCAUUUUAGAGUCACAGCAUAAUAUGAACUUGCUUAACUCAGAGAUUGUUAAAAAUCUGGUAGUUAUUUUUAAUAAAUAUGUUUAUUUAUUUUGUA